rfam:Myotis brandtii contig315372, whole genome shotgun sequence.
GCCCUAGUUUCUCAGUGGUUAGAGCAUCCACCUGUGGACCAAAGGAUUAUGGGUUCAAUUCCCAGUCAAGGGCA